rnacentral:rRNA from 1 species
UACGUAGGGGGCAAGCGUUGUCCGGAAUCAUUGGGCGUAAAGAGCGCGUAGGCGGUCCGGUAAGUCCGCUCUGAAAGUCCGGGGCUCAACCCCGGGAGGCGGGCGGAUACUGUCGGGCUAGAGUCCGGAAGAGGCGAGUGGAAUUCCUGGUGUAGCGGUGAAAUGCGCAGAUAUCAGGAGGAACACCAAUGGCGAAGGCAGCUCUCUGGGUCCCUACCGACGCUGGGGUGCGAAAGCAUGGGGAGCGAACAGG